rnacentral:tRNA from 1 species
CGCGGGGUGGAGCAGCCUGGUAGCUCGUCGGGCUCAUAACCCGAAGGUCGUCGGUCCAAAUCCGGCCCCCGCAACCA